GACGAACGCUGGCGGCGUGCUUAACACAUGCAAGUCGAACGGAAAGGCCCUGCUUUUGUGGGGUGCUCGAGUGGCGAACGGGUGAGUAACACGUGAGUAACCUGCCCUUGACUUUGGGAUAACUUCAGGAAACUGGGGCUAACACCGGAUAGGAGCUCCUGCUGCAUGGUGGGGGUUGGAAAGUUUCGGCGGUUGGGGAUGGACUCGCGGCUUAUCAGCUUGUUGGUGGGGUAGUGGCUUACCAAGGCUUUGACGGGUAGCCGGCCUGAGAGGGUGACCGGCCACAUUGGGACUGAGGUACGGCCCAGACUCCUACGGGAGGCAGCAGUGGGGAAUAUUGCACAAUGGGCGGAAGCCUGAUGCAGCAACGCCGCGUGCGGGAUGACGGCCUUCGGGUUGUAAACCGCUUUCGCCUGUGACGAAGCGUGAGUGACGGUAAUGGGUAAAGAAGCACCGGCUAACUACGUG
rnacentral:rRNA from 1 species